rnacentral:rRNA from 3 species
GACGAACGCUGGCGGCGUGCCUAAUACAUGCAAGUCGAACGAACUCUGGUAUUGAUUGGUGCUUGCAUCAUGAUUUACAUUUGAGUGAGUGGCGAACCGGUGAGUAACACGUGGGAAACCUGCCCAGAAGCGGGGGAUAACACCUGGAAACAGAUGCUAAUACCGCAUAACAACUUGGACCGCAUGGUCCGAGCUUGAAAGAUGGCUUCGGCUAUCACUUUUGGAUGGUCCCGCGGCGUAUUAGCUAGAUGGUGGGGUAACGGCUCACCAUGGCAAUGAUACGUAGCCGACCUGAGAGGGUAAUCGGCCACAUUGGGACUGAGACACGGCCCAAACUCCUACGGGAGGCAGCAGUAGGGAAUCUUCCACAAUGGACGAAAGUCUGAUGGAGCAACGCCGCGUGAGUGAAGAAGGGUUUCGGCUCGUAAAACUCUGUUGUUAAAGAAGAACAUAUCUGAGAGUAACUGUUCAGGUAUUGACGGUAUUUAACCAGAAAGCCACGGCUAACUACGUGCCAGCAGCCGCGGUAAUACGUAGGUGGCAAGCGUUGUCCGGAUUUAUUGGGCGUAAAGCGAGCGCAGGCGGUUUUUUAAGUCUGAUGUGAAAGCCUUCGGCUCAACCGAAGAAGUGCAUCGGAAACUGGGAAACUUGAGUGCAGAAGAGGACAGUGGAACUCCAUGUGUAGCGGUGAAAUGCGUAGAUAUAUGGAAGAACACCAGUGGCGAAGGCGGCUGUCUGGUCUGUAACUGACGCUGAGGCUCGAAAGUAUGGGUAGCAAACAGGAUUAGAUACCCUGGUAGUCCAUACCGUAAACGAUGAAUGCUAAGUGUUGGAGGGUUUCCGCCCUUCAGUGCUGCAGCUAACGCAUUAAGCAUUCCGCCUGGGGAGUACGGCCGCAAGGCUGAAACUCAAAGGAAUUGACGGGGGCCCGCACAAGCGGUGGAGCAUGUGGUUUAAUUCGAAGCUACGCGAAGAACCUUACCAGGUCUUGACAUACUAUGCAAAUCUAAGAGAUUAGACGUUCCCUUCGGGGACAUGGAUACAGGUGGUGCAUGGUUGUCGUCAGCUCGUGUCGUGAGAUGUUGGGUUAAGUCCCGCAACGAGCGCAACCCUUAUUAUCAGUUGCCAGCAUUAAGUUGGGCACUCUGGUGAGACUGCCGGUGACAAACCGGAGGAAGGUGGGGAUGACGUCAAAUCAUCAUGCCCCUUAUGACCUGGGCUACACACGUGCUACAAUGGAUGGUACAACGAGUUGCGAACUCGCGAGAGUAAGCUAAUCUCUUAAAGCCAUUCUCAGUUCGGAUUGUAGGCUGCAACUCGCCUACAUGAAGUCGGAAUCGCUAGUAAUCGCGGAUCAGCAUGCCGCGGUGAAUACGUUCCCGGGCCUUGUACACACCGCCCGUCACACCAUGAGAGUUUGUAACACCCAAAGUCGGUGGGGUAACCUUUUAGGAACCAGCCGCCUAAGGUGGGACAGAUGAUUAGGGUG